rnacentral:rRNA from 1 species
UACAGAGGGUGCAAGCGUUGUUCGGAAUCAUUGGGCGUAAAGCGCACGUAGGCGGCUUUGCAAGUCAGGUGUGAAAGCCUGGGGCUCAACCCCAGAAGUGCAUUUGAAACUGCAGAGCUUGAGUCUUGGAGAGGGCAGUGGAAUUCCGAGUGUAGAGGUGAAAUUCGUAGAUAUUAGGAAGAACACCAGUGGCGAAGGCGGCUCACUGGCCCGGUACUGACGCUGAGGCGCGAAAGCGUGGGGAGCAAACAGG